UUGAUUUUAGUACUUUAAGUUUCAUUCAUUCAAAUUCAUGGUGCAUGUUUCAAAACAAAGCAAUUCAAAUGUGAGAUUUGGUGGGAAAUGCCUUUCUUUUCAUUAAAAUAAAUAAGCCAUGAUUUAAAAAUGUCCAUUACAUCUACACCCUUUUACAAAAAAAGCAAUUUUGACCAAAGUUGACUUUGGUCAACACUUGACUUUUUUGUCAACUUAGACCAAAGUCAACACACUUUUCUAAAGUCUUAACUUUUGGUCUUCAUUCUUCAUUUUCCAUCAUUUAAAAAAAAAGCAAUUUUGACCAAAGUUGACUUUGGUCAACACUUGACUUUUUUGUCAACUUAGACCAAAGUCAACACACUUUUCUAAAGUCUUAACUUUUG
rnacentral:lncRNA from 1 species